rnacentral:rRNA from 1 species
UACGUAGGGUGCAAGCGUUGUCCGGAAUUAUUGGGCGUAAAGAGCUCGUAGGCGGUUUGUUGCGUCGGCUGUGAAAUCCCGAGGCUCAACCUCGGGUCUGCAGUCGAUACGAGCAAACUAGAGUGUUGCAGGGGAGACUGGAAUUCCUGGUGUAGCGGUGGAAUGCGCAGAUAUCAGGAAGAACACCAACGGCGAAGGCAGCUCGCUGGGACGGAAACUGACGGCUAAGGCGCGAAAGCGUGGGGAGCGAACAGG